rnacentral:rRNA from 1 species
AACUUGAGAGUUUGAUCAUGGCUCAGAACGUACGCUGGCGGCACGCCUAACACAUGCAAGUCGAACGAAGUAGCAAUACUUAGUGGCAGACGGGUGAGUAACAUGUAGGUAUCUGCCCUUUGGCCUGGAAUAACACGAGGAAACUUGUGCUAAUACCGGAUAAGUCUUUACGGAGAAAGCUUUAUGCACCAUUGGAUGAGCCUGCACUUGAUUAGUUUGUUGGUGGGGUAAUGGCCUACCAAGACUGUGAUCAAUAGCUGAUUUGAGAGGAUGAUCAGCCACAUUGGGACUGAGACACGGCCCAAACUCCUACGGGAGGCAGCAGUGGGGAAUCUUGCACAAUGGAGGAAACUCUGAUGCAGCGAUGCCGCGUGAGUGAAGAAGGCCCUUGGGUUGUAAAGCUCUUUCGUCGGGGAAGAAAAUGACUGUACCCGAAUAAGAAGGUCCGGCUAACUUCGUGCCAGCAGCCGCGGUAAUACGAAGGGACCUAGCGUAGUUCGGAAUUACUGGGCUUAAAGAGUUCGUAGGUGGUUGAAAAAGUUGGUGGUGAAAUCCCAGAGCUUAACUCUGGAACUGCCAUCAAAACUUUUCAGCUAGAGUAUGAUAGAGGAAAGCAGAAUUUCUAGUGUAGAGGUGAAAUUCGUAGAUAUUAGAAAGAAUACCAAUUGCGAAGGCAGCUUUCUGGAUCAUUACUGACACUGAGGAACGAAAGCAUGGGUAGCGAAGAGGAUUAGAUACCCUCGUAGUCCAUGCCGUAAACGAUGUGUGUUAGACGUUGGAAAUUUAUUUUCAGUGUCGCAGCGAAAGCGAUAAACACACCGCCUGGGGAGUACGACCGCAAGGUUAAAACUCAAAUGAAUUGACGGGGACCCGCACAAG